GUUUUUCCUAAACUUUCAUAGAUUUACUGAUCAAAUAAGCUAGCAUUACAUCUCCUAGAUGUUUAAGAUUAUGAAAAAUGUAAAUUUGUGUUUAACCAAAUUGAAUUAUUAUUCUGGCACACUUUAUUUCAACAGUAAUUAUGCUUUGCAGUAUGUCAGCUUGGAAAUAGUUUCCAAGAUUUUCAGAUAGCUAAAAACCUGUACUGAUGCUAAAUAGAGUUAAUUAAUGGAUAUUCGUUACACGCCUAGAUCACUUGUACAUAGGAUAGGAUACUGAAAUUAAUUGCAAAGCAGAAUUUUAAGUUUAUAUAAUUUUUACGUACUUUUCCCUCUCAUUUUUAUAAGAUACAGCGAGGCUAUAUAUUUAAUGUUAAUGAAUGUGUUCAUUUUCGCAACUUUGGGAUGUGCAUAGCCAUAAAAAGUUAUGAGAUGUACAUUCAUAAGAUCUGCUAGUCUGCUAAAAAUGUUAGUGUAUUAUAAACCUCCUAGUUUUCUUUGUAAAAUAGAAGGGACUGUGGUUAAAAACUCUAAUCCAUAUGUGUGAAUGAGACUCAGAGCAAUAGUGGCAGAGAGGAACAACUCUGUAUGGAAUGUAUGCAGGAUGAAUUUUUGUUUAAACAAAGAAAGGGUAGUUUGUGCUAAACUAAAAUAACUCUGUUCCAGAAUGAGAAGGAGGAAAGUGUAGGAAAAAAUCUAAAUGGAUAUAGAAAGUUGUAGAAGGUUCUCAGAAAGGGGAUUUUUAAUUGUGGUGGUCAAGGCUAAAGUUUAAUGGAUUUAUUUAUAAGGUUUUCAAAAAGAGUUUUAAUAAACACUGUAUACAAUAUAUCUGAUGCAGAACUAGCAUUUGGUUUUCUCUCUGUUAAAAUGACAAAAUCUUCUUGGAUUACAUGCCUGCUUUAUUCGUUAAGAGGUUGGAAAAGAUUUUUCUUUGCCUUCUAAAUAAUUUGUCAAAGAUUCUCUGUCUUAUCAGGGUUAUUUCCUGCAUUUUAUGUUGAUUUUAUCAUGUCCUCGAUUAUUUAAGAGAACAAAGUCUUCCCAUUUUUGAAAGAGCCAGUGUUCUUUACAAUCAUGUUACCUCCUGUGUAUACUUUUAAAACCUUUUAUUGUCAUCUUGGUUAAAUAAGUAACCAAGUAUUGUUUUCCAGUAACCCAUGAUUCUAUUUCAGCAAGUGUUCAAACCUCCAGACGACUUUUGAUACUUUGCCUUCCCAACAUCAAAUCCUAAAUGAUAUAUUUUGCACCUAAAACUGGUUUCCCAGGGGGGCCCUGAAAAACAUUUAGAAAGAAUUUGUUCUUUAUCUUAUAAAAAGAGAGGUUCUAGUCAUAAUUAGGUUUAUUUGAUAUGUGACUAUUGAUGAGUUGCAUGGGAAGACUGAUCAAAUCAGAAGAAAUGCUUAACCUUCCCCAGGCUAAAUUUUUGCAUUCCUCUUUAAGAUAUCUGAUGUCCAGGACUCCAAAAUAACUGACCUUUUCCAUCACUUCUCCAUAAAUGGUUUGACUGAUUUUGCAGAAACAGUGCCAAAAAGAGGUCGUAAGAGAUUAUUUCUUGGACUCUGCUUGGCCCCACGCAGGAGGUUUAUUCUUACCUCUGAGUUGUUCAGUGAAGAAUGAUAUUCAUUCAUCUUUAACAAAAAUCUGACAAUAUUGAACUUCACCUGAGCCCUGUGCUCUUGGAGGAUAGCAACAGUUGAGAAAUCCAUACCCCAACCUUUUGUGUUCCAGGAAAUGGCUUGCUGCAAAGAACUACUCUCCUCCAUAACACUUAGAUAAGACUCACUGUCCACUCUUUCUCAUGAUUCCCACGAGACUUGAGGAUAACACCACUAUGCACCUGUGACGAGGCCAAACAUAUAUUUCUCUCCUUUUGCACGCACCUGCUGAGAAGGUCAAACUGACCAUCUUCCUUCUUGUUCUUUGUCUCAUGAUUGAUUAGCUGAGAUUAGAAGUGUUUGCUCCCUGAAACUGGCUGUGGUUAAUUUAUGUGUCAACUUGACUGAGCUAAGGGGUGCUCAGAUAACUGGUAAAAUGUCGCUGUGUGUGUCUGUGAGGGUGUUUCUAGAAGAGAUUAGCGUUUGAAUUGGUGAACUGAGUCAAGCAGAGGGCCCUUCCCAUGGGGCCCAGCCAUGUGGGUGGCUGGGUGGGAGUCAUCCAAUCCUUUGACAGCCGAAUAGAAUAAAAAAGGCAGAGGAAGGACAAAUUCACUCUCUGCUUGAGCUUCUUCUGUCCAUCCAUCUUCUUCUGUCUUCAGAUAGCCAAGCUCCUGGUUCUCAGGCUUUGGGACUCACGCUGACACUUACCUCAUCAGCCCCGAUUGUCCGGUCUUUGGACUUGGACUGAAUUAUGUCACCAGUUUUCCUGGUCCUCCAGCUUGCAGAUGGCAGAUUGUGGGACUUCUUAGCCUCCAUAACUGUGUGAGCCAAUGCCUAUAAUAAAUCUCCUCAUAUAUAUCUAUAUAGAUUGCUACUGGUUCUGUUUUUCUGGAGAAUCUUGACUAAUACACCAGCUAUUCACAGGGAAAGAAACAUAUCCUGUUCAACUAACCAACCGAGGGAGACUUCCCCUGCUCAGAAAACAUCUCCAACCACAGACCACUCCGUCUGCAACUUGUUUACUCCUCUUUUUGAAACUCUAAGGCAAAACCACCCACCGAGAUACUCUGAUCUUUAGAUCUGGGAUGCUCUCCCUAUUGCAAUAGCUUGAAUACAAUUAAUAUCCUUACCAGUCCAGUUUUUGUCUUUGACAAUAGCAAAAAGGAUUUUGGUAUGUAUUUAGGGUCCCUAAUCAGUUUAUUUUAAGACAAGGAGAUUCUCCUUGGUGGGACUAACUUAAUCAGUUGAGACCUUUAGAAGCAGAGCCUUUUCUCUGGCUAGUCACAGAAGGGGAGAUCAGAGAGAUGUGCUCCUGCUGACCAGCAAGAAAGCAAGCGUCCGUGCUGUAACUGCCUGUGGGUGCCAUAUGGCAAGGAAGUGCAGGAGGCCUCCAGGAGCUGAGAGUGGCCCCCAGCUGAUACCCAGCCAGAUACUGGGGGCUUUAGUCUUUUAACUGCAAGGAACUAAACUCUGCCAAGAAUGUGGGUGGGCUUGGAAAAGUUCCUGUAGCCCCAGAUGAGAACUGCAACCUGACUGACACUCUAAUUUCACCCUGUGGCACUCUGACCCGAGAACCAAGCCACAUCAUGUCAGACUUCUGACCUGCAGAACUGACAAUUAAUAACCAGGUGGUGUUUUAAGCUGCUACAUUUGUGGAAAUUUGUUACACAGCAAUAGAAAACUAGUAAAACCCCUGACAAAUCAUUCUGUGUCUUCAUUGAUCUGCAGCUUUUCUCCUUUCUCAAUGGUUGAUACCUCUAUCUACGCUAUGAUCUCACUUGCUUCUGCCCCUGUAUCCACAGGCAUCUUACUCCAUUGAUUGCUCCUGUUGUCACUCUGCCUCUAUCAUCCAUCCUCUUCAACAUGUAAACAUGGUGAAAUCUCUCCUAUUACAAAAAAACCCUCCACUGAUCCCUUCUUCCCUUAGCUAUGAACUGAUUUGAAAGAACAGUAGUCUACACUUGAUGUUUCUACUUUCUUACCUCUUAUUUACCACUCAUCCAUAUAAAAGGGCUUUCAACCAAACACACUAUCAAAAUUCUUCUCAGCAAGUCACUAGUGAUAUCAAUUUUGCUACAUUCAGUAGAGAAUCAUCACACUUGAUCUCUUCGCAUAUUUUACAGUGUUACUUAUUGAUACUCUCCUGGUUUCCAUAACACCACUCUCGGGGCUUUUCGCUUAUUUCUCUGAUAAUUUCUUCACUCCUUCUCAGUCUUCUUUACGGGGGUCCUCUUCCUCUACCCAUUCCAUGUAUUAACAUUAUAGCUCAAAUUUCUAGGGGUUUUGCACUCACUCCUAAUGUGAGUUCUGCAGACACCUACAAAUCUCAUGUGCACACACACAUACCCCUUUGGUUUUAUUGGGAUUCACUUCUUAUAAACAAGUUCACUUCUCUGGUUGCUGCAACGGCUCCGUUAUGUGAUCUCCUUCCCAUCACAGCUCAUGAGCUCAGUUGCACAUUAGCCUCCCCAUGGUGGCUGCCCCUGCUCUACCAAACUUCACAUCCUCUUCCAAUGCUGCCACCACCUUGGCAACUAGAAACAGAAUCCAGAAGCUCCAGCCCCUCAACCUCGUAUUCAAAUUGGGCGGUCACCACGAGUAAACUGAGCAAACUGAGUCUGCGGUGGGAAAUGCAAUGCCUCUGCCCUCUUGUUUCAUCUGCUGUUAGAGGAAGUCUCUAGCUAGUCUUGUUUGUUCCUUGAUGCCUCACAACAUUCAGGGAAAAAUCUUUCUGCAUUUUUUGCAGCCUUUUUUCUCUCCAGGACUCAGAGCUACAUAUCCAUGGAGAAAAAUGGAAAUAGAGUUGACUGCCAAUCUCUGAAAUGUUCUCAAAAUGCUGUUCCCCUCCCCUGCCAAAGGCUUUUUUACCGCGUCAAGUUCAUUAAGCUCUUUCCUCAACCUUUAG
rnacentral:lncRNA from 1 species